AUUUUCAUACAAAUUUCUCUUGAAGAUGUCUAUCUUGGCAAAGCUUUGUUUCCUGGUGUUGUUAACUGGCAUUGUUCUGGGUAAUAAAUCACCUGAGGACUUUGUGGAAGGAAACCACAAUUUUCAGAAGCGGAUUGGUUGUAUGUUUACGUGUGAAGAAGGACCAUUCUGUUCCUCUGGCCUGCCCCCUACGGGCGAUCCCUGCCCCGAAAUGGCAGACGUUUGUUGUCAAAUGUGAGAAGCCGUCUCAAAUGAUUUGCAGUUUUCUUUGUUAGUACUAUGAAAGAGGAAAUGGGAUGACUUGAAUUAAACCUGUGAAAACUGCUGUCUAA